rnacentral:rRNA from 1 species
CACGUAGGGUGCGAGCGUUGUCCGGAACUAUUGGGCGUAAAGAGCUCGUAGGCGGUGUGUCGCGUCGGCCGUGAAAACCUGCAGCUUAACUGUGGGCUUGCGGUCGAUACGGGCAUCACUGGAGUUCGGCAGGGGAGACUGGAAUUCCUGGUGUAGCGGUGAAAUGCGCAGAUAUCAGGAGGAACACCGGUGGCGAAGGCGGGUCUCUGGGCC